GGGUCGAUAGCUGAGAUGGUUUAGCAGCGGUUUGAAGCACCGCAGACGAGGAUUCGAGCGCCUCUCGGCCCA
rnacentral:tRNA from 1 species